UCUUAUUCCAAGCAUUCUGGUAACUUUUUUGUGUAUGUACCUAGCUGUACUAUAAGUAGUUGGUUUGUAUGAGAUGGUUAAAAA
rfam:Cricetulus griseus cell line CHO-K1, whole genome shotgun sequence.